UACGUAGGCAGCGAGCGUUGUUCGGAAUUACUGGGCGUAAAGAGUGUGUAGGCGGUGCUCUAAGUUCGGUGUGAAAUCUCCUGCUUAACUGGGAGGGUGCGCCGGAAACUGGGGUGCUCGAGCGUGGGAGAGGAAAGCGGAAUUCCCGGUGUAGCGGUGAAAUGCGUAGAUAUCGGAAGGAACACCUGUGGCGAAAGCGGCUCACUGGACCAUUACUGGACGCUGAGGCACGAAAGCUAGGGGAGCAAACAGG
rnacentral:rRNA from 1 species